rnacentral:rRNA from 1 species
GCCAAGAAAAGCCACUAAGUUUAUUAUAUGUUGCCCGUACCGUAAACCGACACAGGUGGGUGGGAUGAGUAUUCUAAGGCGCGUGGAAGAACCCUCUUUAAGGAACUCUGCAAAAUAGCACCGUAUCUUCGGUAUAAGGUGUGCCUACUUUGGUAUAUGGACUUGCUCCAAAAAGCUAGAGAGGUUGCAACAAAGAGUCCCUCCCGACUGUUUACCAAAAACACAGCACUUUGCUAACACGUAAGUGGAUGUAUAAGGUGUGACGCCUGCCCGGUGCUCGAAGGUUAAUUGAUGAUGUCAGCGCAUG